rnacentral:rRNA from 1 species
UACGUAGGUGGCAAGCGUUGUCCGGAAUUAUUGGGCGUAAAGCGCGCGCAGGCGGUCCUUUAAGUCUGAUGUGAAAGCCCACGGCUCAACCGUGGAGGGUCAUUGGAAACUGGGGGACUUGAGUGCAGAAGAGGAAAGCGGAAUUCCACGUGUAGCGGUGAAAUGCGUAGAGAUGUGGAGGAACACCGGUGGCGAAGGCGGCAUCCUGGACCGAUACUGACGCUGAGGAGCGAAAGCCAGGGGAGCAAACGGG